AUUGAACGCUGGCGGAAUGCUUUACACAUGCAAGUCGAACGGCAGCACGGACUUCGGUCUGGUGGCGAGUGGCGAACGGGUGAGUAAUAUAUCGGAACGUAUCCAAUAAUGGGGGAUAACUAAUCGAAAGGUUGGCUAAUACCGCAUACGCCCUACGGGGAAAGCUAGGGACCUUCGGGCCUGGCGUUAAUGGAGCGGCUGAUAUCUGAUUAGCUAGUUGGUGAGGUAAAGGCUCACCAAGGCGACGAUCAGUAGCUGGUCUGAGAGGACGACCAGCCACACUGGAACUGAGACACGGUCCAGACUCCUACGGGAGGCAGCAGUGGGGAAUAUUGGACAAUGGGCGCAAGCCUGAUCCAGCCAUGCCGCGUGGGUGAAGAAGGCCUUCGGUUGUAAGCCUUUGUCCGAAGAAAGACACUGGA
rnacentral:rRNA from 1 species